rnacentral:misc_RNA from 1 species
UUUCCGUAGGUGAACCUGCGGAAGGAUCAUUAUUGAAUAUGCUUGAUAGGUUCUACCUGGCCCUUCCGAGUAUGUGCACGCUCAUCUUGACUUAAUUUAUCCACCUGUGCACCUUUUGUAGCCUUCUGGGUUGAGAUCGGUCGACUACCGGAUGGUCGAGGUCUUUCCGGAUGUGAGGAGUGCUGAGUGCGAAAGCAUACAGCUCUUCGCAAAUGACUUGUCUUCCUCGAGUACUAUGUAUUCAUAUACCACAUAGUAUGUUGUACAAUGUGAUCUAUGGUUCUAUUUACCUAUAAUAAUUAUUUACAACUUUCAGCAACGGAUCUCUUGGCUCUC